UCAAAAGCUUGUUGUAAACUGUCCCAGAC
rnacentral:piRNA from 1 species